CUUUUUUCCAGUUGUUAAGACGUUCAGUCUCUUCAUGAAGAAAUAGCCAUUUAGAGGCUUCUUACUGAGAAGCCUCUGAAUUGGUACCCAGGUGCAAGUGCGCACAUGUCUUGUCUGAGUCCUGUGGAGCUGGUCUGAGGUCUUUGAGGGAGAGUGAGGCAGGCACGAUCAAGUAGAAGGAAGGAUGCUGCACACAUCUCUGGCUGCUUGAUUGACAGUCGGGGGGGUGUUCACUCGAU